CAGAAAACAGUUACUUCAUUGGUAAACGGUUUCGGCACUGUUAUGUAUACAUCUCCGUCAAUGUUCGUCUUCAAUCGUAAACUCAGACAAUGUUCGGAUUAAGUCCGUAUAUAUAUUCCGAUAACACAAAUAAUCUCCGUCACUGGUCGGCUCUUCCCGUGGAUUUCCGGUCUGGUAGAAACUCCGUCAAAGUUCGUUCAUCUCCGUGGAUAGUCCGAUGACACACA
rnacentral:lncRNA from 1 species